rnacentral:rRNA from 1 species
GACGAACGCUGGCGGCGUGCUUAACACAUGAAAGUCGAACGAAGUGGCGAACGGGUGAGUAACGCGUAAUCAACCUGCCCUUCAGAGGGGGACAACAGUUGGAAACGACUGCUAAUACCGCAUACUGAAGGAGGGGAUUGCGUCUGAUUAGCUAGUUGAAGGGGGAACGGCCCACCAAGGCGAUGAUCAGUAGCCGGUGUGGGAGGAGGAACGGCACCAUUGGGACAGAGACACGGCCCAGACUCCUACGGGAGGCGGCAGUGGGGAAUCUUUCGCAAUGGACGGAAGCCUGACGGAGGAACGGCGCGUGAGCGAUGACGGCUUUCGGGUGGUAAAGCUCUGUUAAUCGGGACGCGGUACCGGAAUAGACAGCCACGGCUAACUACGUGCCAGCAGCCGCGGUAAUUC